rnacentral:rRNA from 1 species
UAGGGAAUCUUCCGCAAUGGACGAAAGUCUGACGGAGCAACGCCGCGUGAGUGAAGAAGGCUUUCGGUUUGUAAAACUCUGUUGUUAGGGAAGAAAAAAUGUAUAGUAACUAUAUACAAAAGAGACGGUACCUAACCAGAAAGCCACGGCUAACUACGUGCCAGCAGCCGCGGUAAUACGUAGGUGGCAAGCGUUGUCCGGAAUUAUUGGGCGUAAAGCGCGCGCAGGUGGUUUAGAAAGUCUGAUGUGAAAGCCCACGGCUCAACCGUGGAGGGGCAUUGGAAACUGAUAAACUUGAGUGCAGGAGAGGAAAGUGGAAUUCCUAGUGUAGCGGUGAAAUGCGUAGAGAUUAGGAGGAACACCGGUGGCGAAGGCGGCUUUUUGGCCUGCAACUGACACUGAGGCGCGAAAGCGUGGGGAGCAAACAGG